rnacentral:rRNA from 1 species
UACGUAGGGUGCAAGCGUUAAUCGGAAUUACUGGGCGUAAAGCGUGCGCAGGCGGUGCUGUAAGACAGGCGUGAAAUCCCCGGGCUUAACCUGGGAAUGGCGCUUGUGACUGCAGAGCUGGAGUGCGGGAGAGGGGGAUGGAAUUCCGCGUGUAGCAGUGAAAUGCGUAGAUAUGCGGAGGAACACCGAUGGCGAAGGCAAUCCCCUGGGCCUGCACUGACGCUCAUGCACGAAAGCGUGGGGAGAAAACAGG